AGAAAGAAAGGUUAACGGCGGGAAGAGAGGAAGGUAGAAAGAGAAGGGUGCGUGAGGGAAACAAUAGUCGGAUCAACACUGCAGUUGUGAGCAAGAGGGAGAUAAGAGAGUGCAGUAAAGAAGGAAAUGGAGAGAAGGUCGAUCAUGAGACAGUAGAGAAAAGGAAAUUCAAAAUUUAAGGGCUACAGAGAGGAGAAUUGCAUACGGUUCCACAGUGGCAUAGCUAACGGGGAAAUCAUGCCUGAAAUAGGGAAGAAAAAUGCGGACUAACUUAACAACGUCACUGUGAACAAAGGUAAGUAAGUUUUAAACUUCAAACUCUGUUGUGGCAAUAAAUGUUGAAUUUCUACGUUUCAAUUUUAAAAUGUUUUUUAAGUGUUGAAGAAAGGAGUGGAGAUAGGAAUUGAGGAAACAAUAUGACUGGUGUAACACCCAAGAAUUUAUUAUUAUUAUUAUUACUAUUAUUAUUAUUUUAUUGUAUUAUUUUUAAUUAAUUCUAACUAAAUAUAAUUAAGUAUUAAUAGAAUUUAAUUUAUUUUAACUAGAAAUAAUAAUAAUAAAAAUAAUAAAAAGGGAAAAAAUUUAUUAGAGAUUUAACUGAAAAUAAUUUUGGAAAAAAAUGGUGAAAAUUUGGGUUCUGAUGGUAUUUUUGAAAGAAAAUUUGAAAAUUGGGGGGUCAAAACGUAAUUUAAAAAAAUUACACCACGUCAGCUGCCCAGUCAGCAGCCCUGGCCAACCAGAACGCUCUGCUUGGCAGAGGCGUUGAUGCGGGAGGCCAUGUGGAAGGGAGCCACAUGGGCGAUCCGCAUGCACGCGAUCGGACGGCUAAGAUCCGUUCCCGUGCGCACGGACGGCCCAGAUUAAAUCGCGCACAGAUGGCCCAAAUUGCAUCGUGAUGAACGACCCAGAUUCAUUUCUUUUUUAAUCGCGAUCGGACGGUCCAGAUUAAAUCGCGAUGGAUGGCUCAGAUUAAAAGUGGAAGGUUAUAAAUAAUCUCAUCCACACUUAAACCCUAACUAUAGUUGCCAGAGCCCUCGCCGGAGAAGACAGCCCAGCCGCUGGGGAGCCGACCGCGGCCACCCGUCGCCGUACCGGAGCACUUUUCGGCCGCCAAACGAGGUAAAAAUUCUCCCCUUGGCUCAUAAUUUGAUUCUAAACCCACCUAUGGCAAAAUUGGAGCCAAAACAUCGGCCAAUUGGUCAAAAAAUACAGCUGAAGCCCAGCAAAGCCGCCACAGGUUUUCUCAGUUUUUACCUCUGAUGAGGUCCUUCCCGAUUUCCGUUUGAUGUAAUUUUUACACCAUUGUGACCACCGUUCCUUCCUCUACAGGUUGACCGAAGCAAAACACCAAAUCGCGACUUGAGCCGGAGGAGCCGCCACACCAGAGAGCCCCGUCGCUGGUAAACUUCAGUUUUUGGUAUUUUCUCGGCCCACCGAGGGCCCCAGGGGUGUUUUCUCACAGGAACCAAUGCAAGUUUGGCCGAAUUCGGCCGAAAACAACCAAAAAUAGCCAACCUGAGGCGGAUCGCCGCCGCUCGUCGGAGCUCGGCAGAACCGCCGUGCCGAAAUUCUGAAAUUGGCCGAAUAGGCUUUAGGUCUGAUUUUUGAGUUAUUUGGGAUAUGUGUAGGUACCGUAAGCACGUUUCAGUUCCCGAGAGAAAAUUCAAGGAACCCAGGGACUGCCCAUAGGUGCAGUAAAAAAAUUCAGUUUUCGACUUCGAAUAAGGUAAGGACCCCUCACCAUAUUUCCUAUCACGGGAUUAAAGUCUAAUAAAUGAUAAAACUGUAUUUGUAUGAAUUAAAUAUAUAUACAUAAUUAUUAUGGUUGCUAAUAGAGCCCGAACCGGACAUAUUUCUCUCUCAGUUCCUGUUUGAUUUAUUUUACAGUCUAAAUGCAGUAUGGUAUCUGAUUUAUUUAUUCUAUAGUUUUGAAUGCAUGAAUCACUGUUUACUUUAUUAUGGCUUGAUUUUGUGAAUUCGAUGAUAUGCUUGCCUUAUUGGAUGCUCGUUACUUGUUUAAAUAUUCAUGUUUAUGUGGGAAACGGAAAACUAAAGAAAAAAAUAGAAAAGGUAUGUGAAUUGAUAAAUGGAUAAGUUGACAGCCUCACUAGAUAUCCUGGGAGAUGGGGGACGGACCGGAUCCAUGGGAAACCCUACCGGAAAUGUUGUCUUAUACUGGACAGGGUAUGGAGACUUUCAAUAUUUUGGCGCUCAUACUGAAUGGGAUAUGGAGACGGCCCGCUUCAACCUCAUACCAGACGGGGUAUUGAGGUUUUAUUAUUUGGCGCCCAUACCGGACGGGGUACGAGGACGGCCCUAGGAAUUAAGUUUGUUAAUAGAACGGUUCACGUGUAGUAGGGACCCCUAUGGAUCCCCACGGAUACUGGUAGGCUGAUAAAAAGGGAGUAACUGUUGUUUGAUGAUUGAAAUAUAAAAGUAUGACAUGUACUAUAAUACAUAUUAUGUAUGAAUUCAUGAUAUUUAUGAUGUUAUUAUUUCCAUGAGUCGUUUUUAUAAAUCCCACUGAGGUAAGUGGACGGUAAAUGAUUUGAUUAUUGAUAAUUAAAUUUAUUUGAAACUUGUGCUCUAUUGGUUGUCUUUGGUUUUCUAUCAACCUUUACUUCUGUGACAGUGAUAUAGUGUGAUGUCUUUACUGGACUAAUGUACCUCAUUCCUUACUUAACCAUUUCAGAUCAGGAGGACUUGGUUCCCGAGCCCGAUCUACAAGAAGACGGCGAGUAGAUACCUAG
rnacentral:lncRNA from 1 species